rnacentral:rRNA from 1 species
CAGUAGCCGCGGUAAUACCGAGGGUGCGAGCGUUAAUCGGAUUUACUUGGCGUAAAGCGUGCGUAGGCGGCUUCUUAAGUCGGAUGUGAAAUCCCUGAGCUUAACUUAGGAAUUGCAUUCGAUACUGGGAAGCUAGAGUAUGGGAGAGGAUGGUAGAAUUCCAGGUGUAGCGGUGAAAUGCGUAGAGAUCUGGAGGAAUACCGAUGGCGAAGGCAGCCAUCUGGCCUAAUACUGACGCUGAGGUACGAAAGCAUGGGGAGCAAACAGGAUUAGAUACCCCUGUAGUCCCUGUCUCUUAUAC